CCCCGGUAAACGGCGGCCGUAACUAUAACGGUCCUAAGGUAGCGAAAUUCCUUGUCGGGUAAGUUCCGACCUGCACGAAUGGCGUAAUGAUGGCCAGGCUGUCUCCACCCGAGACUCAGUGAAAUUGAACUCGCUGUGAAGAUGCAGUGUACCCGCGGCAAGACGGAAAGACCCCGUGAACCUUUACUAUAGCUUGACACUGAACAUUGAGCCUUGAUGUGUAGGAUAGGUGGGAGGCUUUGAAGUGUGGACGCCAGUCUGCAUGGAGCCGACCUUGAAAUACCACCCUUUAAUGUUUGAUGUUCUAACGUGGACCCGUAAUCCGGGUUGCGGACAGUGUCUGGUGGGUAGUUUGACUGGGGCGGUCUCCUCCUAAAGAGUAACGGAGGAGCACGAAGGUUGGCUAAUCCUGGUCGGACAUCAGGAGGUUAGUGCAAUGGCAUAAGCCAGCUUGACUGCGAGCGUGACGGCGCGAGCAGGUGCGAAAGCAGGUCAUAGUGAUCCGGUGGUUCUGAAUGGAAGGGCCAUCGCUCAACGGAUAAAAGGUACUCCGGGGAUAACAGGCUGAUACCGCCCAAGAGUUCAUAUCGACGGCGGUGUUUGGCACCUCGAUGUCGGCUCAUCACAUCCUGGGGCUGAAGUAGGUCCCAAGGGUAUGGCUGUUCGCCAUUUAAAGUGGUACGCGAGCUGGGUUUAGAACGUCGUGAGACAGUUCGGUCCCUAUCUGCCGUGGGCGCUGGAGAACUGAGGGGGGCUGCUCCUAGUACGAGAGGACCGGAGUGGACGCAUCACUGGUGUUCGGGUUGUCAUGCCAAUGGCACUGCCCGGUAGCUAAAUGCGGAAGAGAUAAGUGCUGAAAGCAUCUAAGCACGAAA
rnacentral:rRNA from 2 species